rnacentral:other from 1 species
GUGGCUCUGCUAUGUUUGUGAUGGUGGACAAAUCGUUCUGAGCCAACAGAUCUCCAUAGGGAUCCUGCGGCGCGGCCGGAAUGCGUUAGCCCGCUGAAGGUAAGGCUGAACGGCCGGCGCGGAACCCACCUGCGUCAGCAGGUUCAGAACAUUCCACCACACGGCAGUGCGGGGCCACC